ensembl:ncRNA lncRNA:CR46200 long non-coding RNA:CR46200
AGCAAAUCUGUCAGUUUCCUGCUCGAUUGAAAUUUUCUUCUUUGUUUUCUGGCUCUAAAGAGGAGGCGUGUCCUGGCCAAUGCUAAUUAUCGUGAAUGAAACAUUCCGAAAGGACUCCCUCGAGUGGAACUAAUGUCGCCUGGACCGGAUAUGCGAUCGGAAUCCCAAGGACUGCACUUGACCAAGGAAGUCCUUUACAUUUUUGUGUUGGAGAUCUAGUCUUGAAAUUGUGACAUCAUUGGGCUUUGAUCAAUUCACCAGCCAGAUGGAGUUCCAUAUGUUUUUCAAACUCUUCGCUGCUGCUAAUUCAGAAAAGUUAUAAGAGUUUAUUUAAUUCAAAGUGACAUCAUUAUUUGUAUUUUAUUAUUCGUGUGUCGGAAUUACUUCAUAAAAUGUUGUCUGACUUGACCGAAUUCUUUCCAAGUAAGAAAGCUGCGAUUU